rnacentral:rRNA from 1 species
UACGGAGGGUGCAAGCGUUAUCCGGAUUCACUGGGUUAAAGGGUGCGUAGGUGGGCAAGUAAGUCAGUGGUGAAAUCUCCGGGCUUAACCCGGAAACUGCCAUUGAUACUAUUUGUCUUGAAUACUGUGGAGGUCAGCGGAAUAUGUCAUGUAGCGGUGAAAUGCGUUAGAAUAUUGACAUAGAGACCAAUUGCGAAAGC